rnacentral:rRNA from 1 species
GUCGAACGCUGGCGGCGUGCCUAACACAUGCAAGUAGGACGCAGUUGCGAACGGGUGAGUAACGCGUAGGUAACUACCUAUUAGAGGGGGAUAACUAUUGGAAACGAUAGCUAAUACCACAUACUAGUAGAUGGACCUGCGUUGUAUUAGCUAGUAGGUAGGGUAAUGGCCUACCUAGGCAACGAUACAUAGCCGACCUGGGGAGGUGGUCGGGCAAACUGGGACUGAGACACGGCCCAGAAUCCUACUGGAGGGAGCAGUAGGGAAUCUUCGGCAAUGGGGGGAACCCUGACCGAGCAACGCCGCGUGAGUGGAGAAGGUUUUCGGAUCGGAAAGCUCUGUUGUUAAGGGAGCGGUACUUAACGAGAAAGGGACGGCUAACUACGUGCCAGCAGCCGCGGUAAUAC